AAAUCUAUGAAGGUCAAUCUGUUUCAAAAAGCACAAACCUGUAGAUCUGUUGCGUGUAUUUGUACUACAUGAUGGGUGCUUGAAAACAGUGUGUGUGUGUGCGUGCAGUACAGUGUGAGGAGCUGUACACCAACACCCGUAAACCUGUAAAGCUAAAUAUGCACCUGUAAGAAACACUCACAUGCAUUUGAAAUAAAAUACAGUUGUGUGUGACAUUUUCAACUACAAGUCUGUAAACACAAGUGUACAGAUCUGUUUCUGCACACGCUCAACUUUUUUAUUACAGUUGCACAGCUUUCCUCUCACACAUCUGAUUUUUGAAACUAUUUUCACGAUUAAUAUGUGUCAAAAUGCACAAGUUUGUAAAUUUGUUGUCUGAUUCCGUACAACACAAUGUGGACUUGAAGAUUGGAUGUGAGUGUGUGUACCGUAAAAGGUGAGCUUGAAGUUUUGAGGUGAGUGUCUGUGCAUUAAAAUGUGCGAAGCUGCACAUCAACAUGUGUGAAAUUGUGAAGAUAAAUGGUACUUGUAAGAAAAAGUAAAUUGUAUGUGAAACAAAAUAAACUUACAUGUAAAAUUUUCUUCUGCGACCCAGUAAAUACAACUUCUCAAAUACGUUUCUGCGCAUGCUCAGUUGUUGUUUUACAAGCGCACAACUCUCCUCUCGCGAGUCUGACUUUUGAAACACUUCUGGCAGGUUGUGUGUUGCAAAUUGCAGCUGUGUGUAUCUGCAGAGGCGAGCGGAGCAGGGGAUGAGGGCGAGGGUGGGGGCGGAAGGAGGAGCCACAGAGGGAGGGUUGUCAUUGGUCGGCUCUGGUUUCCAGGACAACAGGCUCAACCAAUCAGAGUGAGAGCUGCGUUUUUUCCCUCGGCUUUCAGUCCGCUGCCGUCUGCAGUUCGCGAUGGCUGAACGAGCUGGGGCACUGUUUAGACCAGCGGUACUCAGCUGACAGUCUGUGGGCCACGUCCAGCCCGCAGGUUCAUUCUUUGUGGCCCUUGGUCCACCAGGACAGGGAUGCACUGACAUCUGGCCAGGUCAGAUGUCUUAUCUGUUGUAUUCCGAUGCCAGGAAAAGGCAGAUUGCAAUGCUGAGAUGGUUCUGGACCACAUCACCUGGCCGGAUGAAGAAGAGCUGGAGGAUGACAGCGAAUCUCCUCUUGCUGUGAAAUGUUAGAUCACAAGCUACUUGCGUAGAUUUGUUGAGACAGGUAUUUGGCUUUUUUCUGGUUACACUCAAACUACAGCUUUGUUUAUAAAGUGCUUUUCAAACAAAAAAAUGAAACUCAAGUAGCUUCAGAGGAAGAAAAAAAAUGACCCACAGAUUGAAAAGACCUGACAUAUCCCACAAAAUUCAUUGUCAAUUGAAACCCCCUUCCCCGACCCAGUAACACGCAUAUACACACACACACAUACCCACAUGCACACACAACACAUUAGAGAACAUAUGCAAACACUGGGCAGAGCUCAGAUGAGUCAGGAAACGCCAUCAGGCGAGCCGUCUGACCCAACUCCAGUAGAUCCACAGCAGCAGCCAGGGCACCGAGACAGGUCUCACAGAGGAGGGAGGACAAGGGCCCCCACCUACACCCAAGCACUACCUGGAGAGCACCCAGGCCACUGCCGCUGACCACUGGCCCUGAGGCAGAGGGCUCCCACUGAGGAAACGCUGUAAAGUAUUAGAAUAAGUAAAAGAAUGAAAUAAAAAGAGGUAAUGUAUGAAUAAGUAGUGACCAAUAUAAUUGUAGAAAUAGUAAAACAAUAUCAAAUCAUAAAUAUAUAACAAAACUUUCUUAAAAUAUAAGAAAUUUAAUCAUAAAUAAUAAGCAGUUAAAAGCUAAGCUAAAAAAGUUCAUUCUUCGGCCUGCUCUUAACAUUUCUCUCUGGUCCUGAGGUCCUCGGGCAGCCUGCUCCAGAGGCAAGGGCCAUUAUAUUGUAAGGACGCCUGACCAUUGUUGUUUGUCCUGACAUUCGGGAUCACAAGGCGAUGGCUGCAAGAGGAGUGCAGAGGACGUGAGGGUUUGUAUGGUAAAGUCAGUUCAGAAAGGCUAGAAGGGCGAGGACCAUUAUGACACUUUAAAACCAUUACAAAAACCUGAAAAUCAUUGGAAUAAACCUUAAAGUCAUAAUAGGUUUAAACAGUUGUCUUUCACAAAAUGUGUACAAUCAAACUAUUUUAGAAGCCUUAACCCUCCCACUGUCUUCAUGGGUGACCCCACCAGGAAAGACCUCACCCCUGCCACAUGGACCUCAAGGGAUAAACCAUCAACCCUGCUCAGUGGUCAACUUUCCUGGUGGGGUCACCCAUGUAGACAGUGGGAGGGUUAAAAUGAGUAAAGUGUUUUAUAUGACACAGCAGAUAAGGUGGGUUUGCUACAUUCUAAGUAUCUUGUGUAAACAUGGCACAGAAGAUCUUUUAUAUCUCAUUUGUCUUUGCCAUUUUUUCUUUUCUUUUUCAGUGUCUGAAGAGCAAAGGAAGCAGCUCGUGAAGUUUGGGGUUGGAUGGGAGAAACCCAUGAAGGAUAUGAAAGUGGAAAUAAUGCAGGCAGACCAUCCAACCUCAUCUAGCUGCUUCCAUAUUCUAUGUCUGCCCUGCCACUACACAACAUUUGAUGUUUCGCAAUCAUCUUGAAAGUUGCAUAGCAACCAAUGUUCAUGGUUUUGGAUUGAUCUAAAGUUUAACGUCAUGCUAUUUGCCAGUGCUGUUCAGGUUAUACCAAACAAAUCUUUUUUUUAUUUAACCAUCAAGUUACAGCUGAAAGUUUCAGGAAUAUUGAGUUACAAGUAAGGCACAGCUGUGUUAUAUGAUAAAUGUUUUAUUGUAAUUUUACAAGUAGAGAAAUCAUUUUCAAGAUUGCAUUUUAUACAUAUGCAACAAACAAAACGUUGCUGCAUCCAGGGUCAUGACAAUAGAACAAUAUUUUUGUAGCUUAAUGCUAAAUGUUUUUUCCUGUCACUUGCUUAAGUUCAAGAUGUUAUUAAUAAAAUAAUUUUUUAAAAACUUAAAACAUUUUAUUGAAUUCACAAAUGAUUGUAACCUAUAUUAACACGUUAGACUUGCAGGUUUUUAAAUAAAAAAAAACAUCAAAUUGCAACAAAACUUUCAUUAUUCUCACAAAUUUGGGAAUUUCAAUAUCCAAGAGAAUAAGAAAGGGCAGUUAGAUUUUUAGUACACACAAGAAGAUUACUAUAAUUUUAACUUAAGAAGGUUUAAUUCUUUUAGUUUGCCAUCGAAGAAUAUUAACAUGCAAACAUUUUCAAAUGCUCACGAGUCAUUUAAUCUGUACUUUCAAGUUCAGAUGUGGUAAGAGAUAACGGAGAUUAAAAUAACGUGUUCAGUUAGAUAAUGGAGACUUAUGAAGAUCCUUCACAGACAUUUUAUACAAGUCAUUGAUGACAAGAUGCAAAAAAUGAAAGAUUUUAUUAUAGCCAAUGGUUUGCAUGUAAUGCCGUGUGGCUAAAUAACUGUCAAUCCCAAGAUUGACCUCAGUGGAUCCACAGCUGCACAGAGUCCAGAAUAUUCUCCUGGACUUAGCGGGCAUUCAACUUCUGGAACUUGAACACUAGAGUUGUGUUCAAUGUCGAUGAGUCCACUGGAUUCCCAUUCAAUCUGUGGAAUGUAAAGCUCCUGCAAUAAAAUGAUUUUGGGCUAAGCACAGAAUACGUUCUUCUGACCACACAACGGAGAUGGGACAUUCAGGAAACCACGCCUGCAGUGUCUAAUCUGCGCAUAGAGGACCGAACACACUCCCACUGAAGUCUAUAUCCUUGUGACUUCAGCAGACCUUUCAUCAUGGUGACUUGAAAAGCGCUAUAUAAGUUCAAUGCAUUAUUAUUAUUAUCAAUCUAUACCCUGCAUUUUGGUUUCUGGCAUGGAUCUGUGACACUAGAGAGUCUAGCUCAUCGUGAGUCAUGGUGCUGUAAGUUUGGCUCACACUUAAACCCCAUUCUUUCACUUGCCUGUGUAAUGUAACUCUAGAUAUCCCCAGCAGCUGUGCAAUACACGUGACAGGUAAACCUAAAGAAAUGAGGUGUUCUGUGUAUUUCUCAGGAAUAAGUAGUUUGGGACGACCAAUGGCUCCUCUUUCGUGAGCAACAAUAAUUUGUGCUUUUUUAUUUUGACUGCAGGUCUCUGAUAAACUUGGGCAAGUGCAUUUAAAAUGUCCUGAGGGACGUCAAAUGGUUUGAGAUAGCACCCAGAAUAACCAGCUCCUGACAACAUACAAAUUCCAAAAAAUCGAGAUCUAGAGGAACUCGAUCAAGCCAAUUAGAGGAACGGUUGUAAAGUCUUUCAAGCAGAUAGUUGAGCAGCAGUUCCUGAAAAACAAAAAUGAAGGGUUACUAAAAGAGCCAUCAAAUGCAGAUUUUAAAUAUCACAUGUAACAGUUAUUAUUAAUAGGAUCCCCGAGAAAGGAAACAAGAGUUAAAGGUUUCAAAUGAUUACUUUUUAUUGUUUUACUGGUGAUUAAAAAAACUAAUUGUAACUAUCAGGCUGAUAUCUAAAAUGUUUAUUUUUUUAAUCAGAAGUUGGUUAGUUGGUGCUGCCUAAUCGUUGCAGCUUCGGUGGCCAGCAAUUAGUAACUCCCUUAUACAUGUAAUUCAAGCAAUAUACACGCAAUUUAAAAAGUAAAAUGCUCAUUAUACAACUUAUAAGUAUAAUUAUAACUUUGCCGCACGUCAUGUGACCAUCACGGGAGCCCUGGUCACGUGACGCAAGUCAGCUCCAUUUAACUGUUUUCUUUGACCAAGGAAGGACAGUGUCCUCAAAGCCUGACAUUGAGAAACACCCCUGGGAUUAUACCCAAACACAGUGGCCUUAAUGUAAGACUUCAGUGUUAGCAGUGGCGUUUUUUGUUUCUGCUAACUUAGCAAAGCAGCUCAUAUAAACUUUAGCUAGACUACAUAUUUGUACAAAUAUCUUAUAAGGCCUUAAUAAUGGUAUAAAUAGCAUGACGUUAUGUUAGUGUGUCACCUUGUUUAAAUAAAAAGACGAGGAAAUGACUAAAAUAAGUUUAGAAAGUCCUUUGAAAUGUACUUACCCCAGC